rnacentral:rRNA from 1 species
CCUACGGGUGGCAGCAGUGGGGAAUAUUGGGCAAUGGGCGCAAGCCUGACCCAGCAACGCCGCGUGAAGGAAGAAGGCUUUCGGGUUGUAAACCUCUUUUCUUAGGGACGAAGAAAGAGACGGUACCUGCGGAAUAAGCCACGUCUAACCACGUGCCAGCACUCGCGGCAAUCCGUAGGCGGCAGGCGUUCUCCGGAUUCAUUGGGUGUAAAGGGCGUGUAGGCGGGAGUGCAAGUCAGAUGUGAAAUCUCAGGGCUCAACCCUGGGCCUGCAUUUGAAACUGUGUUUCUUGAGUAGUGGAGAGGCAAGCGGAAUGCGGAGUGUAGCGGUGAAAUGCGUAGAUAUACGGAGGAACACCAGUGGCGAAGGCGGAUUGCUGGACAGUAACUGACGCUGAGGCGCGAAAGCGUGGGGAGCAAACAGGAUUAGAUACCCGAGUAGUC